UUCCAGACUCCUACGGGAGGCAGCAGUGGGGGAUAUUGCACAAUGGGGGAAACCCUGAUGCAGCGACGCCGCGUGGGUGAAGAAGCGCCUCGGCGCGUAAAGCCCUGUCAGCAGGGAAGAAAAUGACGGUACCUGAAGAAGAAGCCCCGGCUAACUACGUGCCAGCAGCCGCGGUAAUACGUAGGGGGCGAGCGUUAUCCGGAUUCACUGGGUGUAAAGGGAGCGUAGACGGCCAAGCAAGCCAGGGGUGAAAGCCCGGGGCCCAACCCCGGGACUGCCCUUGGAACUGCACGGCUGGAGUGCGGGAGGGGCAGGCGGAAUUCCUGGUGUAGCGGUGAAAUGCGUAGAUAUCAGGAGGAACACCGGCGGCGAAGGCGGCCUGCUGGACCGUGACUGACGUUGAGGCUCGAGAGCGUGGGGAGCAAACAGGAUUAGAUACCCCGGUA
rnacentral:rRNA from 1 species